CCUACGGGAGGCAGCAGUGGGGAAUAUUGCACAACGGGGGGAACCCUGAUGCAGCGACGCCGCGUGGGUGAAGGAGUAUUUCGGUAUGUAAAGCCCUAUCAGCAGGGAAGAAAAAUGACGGUACCUGACUAAGAAGCACCGGCUAACUACGUGCCAGCAGCCGCGGUAAGACGUAGGGUGCAAGCGUUAUCCGGAUUUACUGGGUGUAAAGGGAGCGCAGGCGGCGCGUUAAGCCUGGGGUGAAAGCCAGCGGCCAAACCGCGGGACUGCAUUGGGAACUGGCGCGCUGGAGUGCCGGAGGGGUAGGCGGAAGUCCUAGUGUAGCGGUGAAAUGCGUAGAUAUUAGGAGGACCACCAGUGGCGAAGGCGGCCUACUGGACGGUGACUGACGCUGAGGCUCGAAAGCGUGGGGAGCAAACAGGAUUAGAUACCCUAGUAGUC
rnacentral:rRNA from 1 species